rnacentral:rRNA from 1 species
CAGCAGCCGCGGGAAUACGGAGGAUGCAAGCGUUAUCCGGAAUGAUUGGGCGUAAAGCGUCUGUAGGUGGCUUUUCAAGUCCGCCGUCAAAUCCCAGGGCUCAACCCUGGACAGGCGGUGGAAACUACCAAGCUGGAGUACGGUAGGGGCAGAGGGAAUUUCCGGUGGAGCGGUGAAAUGCGUAGAGAUCGGAAAGAACACCAACGGUGAAAGCACUCUGUUGGGCCGACACUGACACUGAGAGACGAAAGCUAGGGGAGAAAAUGGGAUUAGAUACCCCCGUAGUCCCUGUCUCUUAUAC